UACGUAGGGUGCGAGCGUUAAUCGGAAUUACUGGGCGUAAAGCGUGCGCAGGCGGUUCGCUGUGUCCUGGGUGAAAGCCCCGGGCUUAACCUGGGAAUGGCAUGGGAAACUGGCGAGCUUGAGUGCGGCAGAGGGGGGUGGAAUUCCGCGUGUAGCAGUGAAAUGCGUAGAGAUGCGGAGGAACACCGAUGGCGAAGGCAGCCCCCUGGGUCGACACUGACGCUCAGGCACGAAAGCGUGGGGAGCAAACAGG
rnacentral:rRNA from 1 species